rnacentral:lncRNA from 1 species
AUGAGCUUGAACCACUGUCCCUACCACCGAGCAGGGCCCCCCUUGUCACCUCCUCAUGUUCAUGUUCUUCACAUAGGGACAGAUGUUCAUUGUCAUCUGCUGCCUGUGGGAACAUGUCUUGGAUGUCACACUCUUCCCCAAAGCACAGCUCUGUUUCAUAUUUAUCAUCUUCUGGGGAAAGCUUCUCAUGCUCGUUGUAAUCGCAUUGGGGCAGCUCUUUGGCACAGUCAUUCUCCCCUUGAGACGCCUCUUCUUCAUGCUUUUCUUCACCCGGGAAGCUGUCCCCUGGGAAGAGCUCGAUGGCCUCUGCAAAUUACCCUUGCUGUCCCCUGGGAAGAGCUCGAUGGUCUCUCCAAAUUUGGACAGAUGCUGGUCACUUGUGAUGUUUUCCGGACCAUCCUCGAUGGCCUCUUCCACUGGGGACAGAUUCUCGUCACUUGUGCUGCCCCCUGGAGUGACUUUGAUGUCCUCUUCAACAUCGGGCAGCUCCUUCUCCCUUGUGCUGUCCACUGGAAAGAGCUCGCUGUAAUCCUCCACGGGGGUCAGCUGCUGGUCACUUGUGGUGUCCCCUGGACCGAUUUCAGUGGCCUCUUCCACAGGGGACAGCUCCUCCUCAUUUGUGCUGUCCCCUGAAGUGACCUCUCUGGCCUCUUCCACCUCGGACAGCUCUGGCUCAAUGUCGCUGUCCCCUGGCAAGAGCUCAAUGGACUCUUCUACUUUGAACAGCAGCUCCUCAGCUGUGCUGUCAUCUGGAGAGAGCUCGCUCUCAUCUUCCACAAGGGACAGCUCCUGUUCACACUCACUGUCCUCUUGAAAGAGCUCAAAGCCUUCUGUCACUUGGGACAGCUCCUGGUCACAUCCAUGUUCCUCUUGGAAGCGUUUGCUCUCAUUCUGUUUCUCAGGCACCGUGUCCCUGAGGCUGCGCUGCAUGGCUGCAGCCCCCGCGGGGAUGGGCGGCACAGGCAGCGCAGGGGGGGGGGGGGGGGGGGGGGGGGGGGGGGGGGGGGGGGGGGGGGGGGGGG